rnacentral:rRNA from 1 species
GAGUUUGAUCCUGGCUCAGGACGUACGCUGGCGGCACGCCUAACACAUGCAAGUCGAACGCAGUAGCAAUACUGAGUGGCAAACGGGUGAGUAUAAUGUGGGAAUCUGCCUUUUGGUUUGGAAUAACACGGGGAAACUUGUGCUAAUACCGAAUAAGCCCUUACGGGGAAAGUUUUAACGCCGAAAGAUGAGCCUGCACUUGAUUAGCUAGUUGGUAAGGUAAAGGCUUACCAAGGCAACGAUCAAUAGCUGUUCUUAGAGGAAGACCAGCCACAUUGGGACUGAGACACGGCCCAGACUCCUACGGGAGGCAGCAGUGGGGAAUCUUGCACAAUGGGGGAAACCCUGAUGCAGCGAUGCCGCGUGAGUGAAGAAGGCCUUUGGGUUGUAAAACUCUUUCGUCGGGGAAGAAAAUGACUGUACCCGAAUAAGAAGGUCCGGCUAACUUCGUGCCAGCAGCCGCGGUAAUACGAAGGGACCUAGCGUAGUUCGGAAUUACUGGGCUUAAAGAGCUCGUAGGUGGUUAAAAAAGUUGAUGGUGAAAUCCCAAGGCUCAACCUUGGAACUGCCAUCAAAACUUUUUAGCUAGAGUGUGAUAGAGGUAAGUGGAAUUUCUAGUGUAGAGGUGAAAUUCGUAGAUAUUAGAAAGAACACCAAAUGCGAAGGCAACUUACUGGGUCACUACUGACACUGAGGAGCGAAAGCAUGGGUAGCGAAGAGGAUUAGAUACCCUCGUAGUCCAUGCCGUAAACGAUGUGUGCUAGACGUUGGAAAUAUAUUUUUCAGUGUCGCAGCGAAAGCAUUAAGCACACCGCCUGGGGAGUACGACCGCAAGGUUAAACUCAAUG